CCUACGGGAGGCAGCAGUGAGGAAUAUUGGUCAAUGGACGAGAGUCUGAACCAGCCAAGUAGCGUGAAGGAUGACUGCCCUAUGGGUUGUAAACUUCUUUUAUAUAGGAAUAAAAUGUUCCACGUGUGCGUUUUUGUAUGUACCAUAUGAAUAAGGAUCGGCUAACUCCGUGCCAGCAGCCGCGGUAAUACGGAGGAUCCGAGCGUUAUCCGGAUUUAUUGGGUUUAAAGGGAGCGUAGGUGGAUUGUUAAGUCAGUUGUGAAAGUUUGCGGCUCAACCGUAAAAUUGCAGUUGAAACUGGCAGUCUUGAGUACAGUAGAGGUGGGCGGAAUUCGUGGUGUAGCGGUGAAAUGCUUAGAUAUCACGAAGAACUCCGAUUGCGAAGGCAGCUCACUGGACUGCAACUGACACUGAGGCUCGAAAGUGUGGGUAUCAAACAGGAUUAGAUACCCCUGUAGUC
rnacentral:rRNA from 1 species